rnacentral:rRNA from 1 species
AGUGAACGCCGGCGGUAGGCCUAACACAUGCAAGUCGAACGGCAGCACAGUAAGAGCUUGCUCUUACGGGUGGCGAGUGGCGGACGGGUGAGGAAUACAUCGGAAUCUACUUUUUCGUGGGGGAUAACGUAGGGAAACUUACGCUAAUACCGCAUACGACCUACGGGUGAAAGCAGGGGAUCUUCGGACCUUGCGCGAUUGAAUGAGCCGAUGUCGGAUUAGCUAGUUGGCGGGGUAAAGGCCCACCAAGGCGACGAUCCGUAGCUGGUCUGAGAGGAUGAUCAGCCACACUGGAACUGAGACACGGUCCAGACUCCUACGGGAGGCAGCAGUGGGGAAUAUUGGACAAUGGGCGCAAGCCUGAUCCAGCCAUACCGCGUGGGUGAAGAAGGCCUUCGGGUUGUAAAGCCCUUUUGUUGGGAAAGAAAAGCAGCAGCUUAAUACCCCGCUGUUCUGACGGUACCCAAAGAAUAAGCACCGGCUAACUUCGUG